rnacentral:lncRNA from 1 species
AGAAAGAGAGGGAAAGCCAAGAGAAAGAAACUAUAGUCCAUCUUGAGUUUGAUCCACUUAAGUGAGAAAACAAGAAAUCUAAAUCGAUUAAUCAAUAGUUUGAGAGCUUGGGAAGCUUAAGGAACCAAAAAUUUCAAGGAGUAGUGGAGGAUCACUCUUGCAAGGCCUUGUCUUGAGGUAUAAUGGCUGAUCACCCUUUCUUUUCCAUUAAUCAUGAUUAAGUUGGGUAUUAAUGUUAGAAUUGUGCUUGUGAUGCUUGUUUGAAAUGGUUUUGAUGAUUGGAGGGAUGAAUUUUGAGAUAGGGUUUUGAUUUAUUCACUUAUAAUUCUUGUUGGUUAGGUGUUAUAUGGUGUGUAUAUAUGGUAUAUAAUCUUGUAAAGGAGAAAGUAGUGGCGGCUUUAAGGUAAAAAUGUAAAUUAUAGCUUGAUGUAGCAAAAUUCCAGAUUUCUGGAAAUUGAAGCUUCAGUUUUGCCCGGUUCUAGUUCCAUAUGUUAGAGGCCGAAUUAGGCUUAGCACAAAACAUAAAAGUUGUAUAGAAUGAUGUUUUAUAGUUUUUUGAAAAAUAUCAGCUCAAUCGGAGCAACGUAGCCUGUGAAAAGACCGAAAUACCCAUGACUACCACAGGUUUAGUCCAAUGGACAGUUUUGACAUUUCAUCAAUCUGAUCGUGUCUUUUCACCUUUAUACAUACUAAACUAGCAUUUAGCCAAAACAUAAAAGUUGUAUUGCUAUGUCCUAGCUUUCCAACACCCCUGGAAUCACCUCAUUUGGACUUCGGUAGCCUGAGUUAUGGUUGUUUACGUAUAGUGCGGUUAACUAGCCCGAGUGUGAGAUUCUGAUUCUGUAAUUUGACAUUUUGACUUAGAUACACUGCAAAAUGGACUGAGCGGUCUUCAUCAAAGUUGUAGAUCUUUGUUUUAGCUUCGAAACGGUUAAAUUGCACCUCAAUCCGAUAAGCGUAGCCUCAGUUGUGUCCGUUACGCAAAAUAAUGUCAAAUCUGUCUUUUGUUUCUUGACUUAAACUUCAUUUCCGCACAUGCUCCUAGCUUGAUUUUAUACCUGUAUGACUUGGAGCCUAUGAAAUGGCUAGUGAAAUGAGAUGAUUCUGUAUAAGACUUUGGGUUUGAUUGAAGAAAAGAAUGAAGCCAUAAAUGGUUGGAAAAUAGAUAAAUACAAAGGGCGUGCUGCCCAAAUUUACGCUCGAGAACUAGGUCGAUAUACUUGCGACUUGAGUAAGGUUUGAGAGCGAAUACCAUGUGAACCAUCUAGGGUAUUUACGUUUUCUUUGCCACUUCGACUCAAAUAGCAAUUUUAAAGUUUUACAAGUGAGUCUAAGUUUUACAAAUAUUUUACUUAUGUCUUUUGGUUUCAAUGUACUCUUUUCACUACCAAAACCAUAUUUAUACUUUGUACUAGUACGUUUGCGACUUUUCUUUGACUCACUUAUAUCUUUGAUGGUUGAAGCAUAAUGUGUUCAUUUGAUUAUAUUAGGAUACCUUGGUGAUUGAGGGUGUAUCCGGAAGGAAACUUUGGAUGUUAUUUUGCAUAAAUAGGUGAGUGUUCCUUGUUUGUUAUAUUUUCAUUGCCUAUGUGGCUUGUUCUUAUUUAUAUGACUUGUUAUGAACGAUUGAUAACAUGUUAAAUAUUUUCAAUGAUUGCUUAAAAUGAGUUUGUUAGGCGAGUGUAUACUUUAUCGCACUCGACUUAAAUGAAAUUUGAAAUUGUCAAUGUUUACGUGAUUAAAUGCUAGUUGUGCAUGAAUGUAAGCCUCUUGGCUGAACAAGGCCCUGCCCUUCGUUACUGAUCGACUCAAGUCAGAAGCGGACUCGGUCGGGCAAUUUAGUGACCCUGGGUGAACGUUUGGUAUACUCGAGUAUUAUCUUGAAGUCUGGUGGAGCCCUGGCCAAUGUCCGGGAAGGGGGUGAAUGAAAUGAAUGAACGAAUGUCAACGCAAAUGAGGGAUUUUACUUAUCAAAAUGUAUUUUCAAAUGAUUGGAGGAAUAAGGGGAAAUGACAGGAGAAUGAAUGAACGAAUGAAUGAAUGGCUCCUUGUGAGCACGUAUCCUUUUAAUGAAUGUGUUCCUAUCGCUUUCCAUUGUAAUGUUUCUUGAGUUAUUGAUUGUUUGUGGUAACUACAUUGAACUUGUCGCUUGAUUAUAUGUUCGGAACCUCAUUGAGCUUUUAGCUCAUCCAUUUAGUUUUGUUUUCCUUAACAG